rnacentral:rRNA from 1 species
AUGCUGGAGGUAUCAGAAGUGCGAAUGCUGACAUAAGUAACGAUAAUGCGGGUGAAAAACCCGCACGCCGGAAGACCAAGGGUUCCUGUCCAACGUUAAUCGGGGCAGGGUGAGUCGACCCCUAAGGCGAGGCCGAAAGGCGUAGUCGAUGGGAAACAGGUUAAUAUUCCUGUACUUGGUGUUACUGCGAAGGGGGGACGGAGAAGGCUAUGUUAGCCGGGCGACGGUUGUCCCGGUUUAAGCAUGUAGGCGGAGGUUCCAGGUAAAUCCGGUACCUUUUUAACGCUGAGGUGUGAUGACGAGGCACUACGGUGCUGAAGUAACAAAUGCCCUGCUUCCAGGAAAAGCCUCUAAGCAUCAGGUAACACGAAAUCGUACCCCAAACCGACACAGGUGGUCAGGUAGAGAAUACCAAGGCGCUUGAGAGAACUCGGGUGAAGGAACUAGGCAAAAUGGUGCCGUAACUUCGGGAGAAGGCACGCUGAUAUGUAGGUGAAGUGAUUUACUCAUGGAGCUGAAAUCAGUCGAAGAUACCAGCUGGCUGCAACUGUUUAUUAAAAACACAGCACUGUGCAAACACGAAAGUGGACGUAUACGGUGUGACGCCUGCCCGGUGCCGGAAGGUUAAUUGAUGGGGUUAUCCGUAAGGAGAAGCUCUUGAUCGAAGCCCCGGUAAACGGCGGCCGUAACUAUAACGGUCCUAAGGUAGCGAAAUUCCUUGUCGGGUAAGUUCCGACCUGCACGAAUGGCGUAAUGAUGGCCAGGCUGUCUCCACCCGAGACUCAGUGAAAUUGAACUCGCUGUGAAGAUGCAGUGUACCCGCGGCAAGACGGAAAGACCCCGUGAACCUUUACUAUAGCUUGACACUGAACACUGGUCCUUGAUGUGUAGGAUAGGUGGGAGGCUUUGAAGUGUGGACGCCAGUCUGCAUGGAGCCAUCCUUGAAAUACCACCCUUUAAUGGCUGGUGUUCUAACGUGGACCCGUAAUCCGGGUUGCGGACAGUGUCUGGUGGGUAGUUUGACUGGGGCGGUCUCCUCCUAAAGAGUAACGGAGGAGCACGAAGGUUAGCUAAUCCUGGUCGGACAUCAGGAGGUUAGUGCAAAGGCAUAAGCUAGCUUGACUGCGAGAGUGACGGCUCGAGCAGGUGCGAAAGCAGGUCUUAGUGAUCCGGUGGUUCUGAAUGGAAGGGCCAUCGCUCAACGGAUAAAAGGUACUCCGGGGAUAACAGGCUGAUACCGCCCAAGAGUUCAUAUCGACGGCGGUGUUUGGCACCUCGAUGUCGGCUCAUCACAUCCUGGGGCUGAAGUAGGUCCCAAGGGUAUGGCUGUUCGCCAUUUAAAGUGGUACGCGAGCUGGGUUUAGAACGUCGUGAGACAGUUCGGUCCCUAUCUGCCGUGGGCGCUGGAGAAUUGAGGGGGGCUGCUCCUAGUACGAGAGGACCGGAGUGGACGCAUCACUGGUGUUCGGGUUGUCAUGCCAAUGGCAUUGCCCGGUAGCUAAAUGCGGAAGAGAUAAGUGCUGAAAGCAUCUAAGCACGAAACUUGCCCCGAGAUGAGUUCUCCCUGAGACUUUAAGUCUCCUGAAGGAACGUUGAAGACGACGACGUUGAUAGGUCGGGUGUGUAAGCGUAGCGAUACGUUGAGCUAACCGAUACUAAUGAACCGUGAGGCUUAACCUUACAACGCCGAAG